UACGUAGGGUGCAAGCGUUAAUCGGAAUUACUGGGCGUAAAGCGUGCGCAGGCGGCUUUGCAAGACAGAUGUGAAAUCCCCGGGCUUAACCUGGGAACUGCAUUUGUGACUGCAUGGCUAGAGUGCGGCAGAGGGGGACGGAAUUCCGCGUGUAGCAGUGAAAUGCGUAGAUAUGCGGAGGAACACCGAUGGCGAAGGCAAUCCCCUGGGCCUGCACUGACGCUCAUGCACGAAAGCGUGGGGAGCAAACAGG
rnacentral:rRNA from 1 species